GACGAACGCUGGCGGCGUGCUUAACACAUGCAAGUCGAACGAGUGGCGAACGGGUGAGUAACACGUGGGUGAUCUGCCUUGCACUUCGGGAUAAGCUUGGGAAACUGGGUCUAAUACCGGCUAGUGCAAGAUGAGCUCGCGCCCUAUCGGCUGGUUGGUGGGGUAAUGGCUACCAAGGCGCGACGGGUAGCCGGCCUGGGAGGGUGGACGGCCACAUUGGUACUGCGAGACGGACCAGGCGCCGACGGGAGGCAGCGGUGGGGAAUAUUGCACAGUGGGCGGAGGCCUGUUGCAGAGGUGCUGGGGGGGGGAGGAAGGGUUUCGGGUUAUGAACUCCGGUGGACAGGGAAGCGGUACCUGUAUAAGAAGCACCGGCUAACUACGUGCCAGCAGCCGCGGUAAUUC
rnacentral:rRNA from 1 species